CGGGUCUUAAUNGACUUGGUAACGCAGCUAACGCGUGAAGUAGACCGCCUGGGGAGUACGGUCGCAAGAUUAAAACUCAAAGGAAUNGACGGGGACCCGCACAAGCGGUGGAUGAUGUGGANUAAUUCGAUGCAACGCGAAAAACCUUACCUACCCUUGACAUGGAAGGAAUCCUCGAGAGAUCGGGGAGUGCCCGAAAGGGAACCUUUACACAGGUGCUGCAUGGCUGUCGUCAGCUCGUGUCGUGAGAUGUUGGGUUAAGUCCCGCAACGAGCGCAACCCUUGUCAUUAGUUGCUACGAAAGAGCACUCUAAUGAGACUGCCGGUGACAAACCGGAGGAAGGUGGGGAUGACGUCAAGUCCUCAUGGCCCUUAUGGGUAGGGCUUCACACGUCAUACAAUGGUACAUACAGAGGGCCGCCAACCCGCGAGGGGGAGCUAAUCCCAGAAAGUGUAUCGUAGUCCGGAUUGUAGUCUGCAACUCGACUGCAUGAAGUUGGAAUCGCUAGUAAUCGCGGAUCAGCAUGUCGCGGUGAAUACGUUCCCGGGUCUUGUACACACCGCCCGUCACACCAUGGGAGCGGGUUUUACCAGAAGUAGGUAGCUUAACCGCAAGGAGGGCGCUUACCACGGUAGGAUUCGUGACUGGGGUGAAGUCGUAACAAGGUACC
rnacentral:rRNA from 1 species